rnacentral:rRNA from 1 species
AUUGAACGCUGGCGGCAUGCUUUACACAUGCAAGUCGAACGGUAACAGGUCUUCGGAUGCUGACGAGUGGCGAACGGGUGAGUAAUACAUCGGAACGUGCCUAGUAGUGGGGGAUAACUACUCGAAAGAGUGGCUAAUACCGCAUGAGAUCUACGGAUGAAAGCAGGGGCUCGCAAGACCUUGUGCUACUAGAGCGGCCGAUGGCAGAUUAGGUAGUUGGUGGGAUAAAAGCUUACCAAGCCGACGAUCUGUAGCUGGUCUGAGAGGACGAUCAGCCACACUGGGACUGAGACACGGCCCAGACUCCUACGGGAGGCAGCAGUGGGGAAUUUUGGACAAUGGGCGCAAGCCUGAUCCAGCAAUGCCGCGUGCAGGAUGAAGGCCUUCGGGUUGUAAACUGCUUUUGUACGGAACGAAAAGCCCUGGGUUAAUACCCUGGGGUCAUGACGGUACCGUAAGAAUAAGCACCGGCUAACUACGUGCCAGCCGCCGCGGUAA